GAUGAACGCUGGCGGCGUGCCUAAUACAUGCAAGUCGAGCGAACGGACGAGAAGCUUGCUUCUCUGAUGUUAGCGGCGGACGGGUGAGUAACACGUGGAUAACCUACCUAUAAGACUGGGAUAAAUUCGGGAAACCGGAGCUAAUAACGGCUAAUAUUUUGAACCGCAAGGUUCAAAAGUGAAAGACGGUCUUGCUGUCACUUAUAGAUGGAUCCGCGCUGCAUUAGCUAGGUGGUAGGGUAACGGCUUACCAAGGCAACGAUGCAUAGCCGACCUGAGAGGGUGAUCGGCCACACUGGAACUGAGACACGGUCCAGACUCCUACGGGAGGCAGCAGUAGGGAAUCUUCCGCAAUGGGCGAAAGCCUGACGGAGCAACGCCGCGUGAGUGAUGAAGGUCUUCGGAUCGUAAAACUCUGUUAUUAGGGAAGAACAUAUGUGUAAGUAACUGUGCACAUCUUGACGGUACCUAAUCAGAAAGCCACGGCUAACUACGUG
rnacentral:rRNA from 1 species